rnacentral:rRNA from 1 species
CCUACGGGGGGCUGCAGUGAGGAAUAUUGGUCAAUGGCCGGAAGGCUGAACCAGCCAUGCCGCGUGAGUGAAGAAGUAAUUCCUUAUGUAAAGCCCUAUCAGCAGGGAAGCAAAUGACGGUACCUGAGCAAGAAGCCCCAGUUACCUCCGUGCCAGCAGCCGCUGUCAUCCGUAGGGGGAAAGCGGUAUCCGGGUUUACUGGGUGUAAAGGGAGCGUAGGCGGGAGUGCAAGGUUGGAGUGAAAGGCGGGGGCUCAACCCCCGGACUGCGCUGGAAAAUGUGCGGCUGGAGUGAAGGAGAGGUAAGUGGAAUGCGUGGUGUAGCGGUGAAAUGCGUAGAUAUUAGGAGGAACACCAGUGGCGAAGGCGGCUUACUGGACUGUAACUGACGUUGAGGCACGAAGGCGUGGGGAGCGAACAGGAUUAGAUACCCCAGUAGUC